GACGAACGCUGGCGGCGCGCUUAACACAUGCAAGUCGAGCGAAGCGGCGGACGGGUGAGUAACACGUGAGUAACCUGCCUUAGACAUUGGGAUAGCCUCGGGAAACCGGGAUUAAUACCAAAUGGUCUAAGAUGGACUCGCGUCCCAUUAGCUAGUUGGUGGGUAACGGCCUACCAAGGCGACGACGGGUAGCCGGCCUGAGAGAGCGAACGGCCACAUGGGGACUGAGAUACGGCGCAAACUCUAGGGGAGGCAGCAGUGGGGAAUAUUGCACAGUGGGGGAAACUCUGAUGCAGCAACGCCGCGUGCGGGAUGACGGCAUUCGGGUUGUAAACCGCUUUCAGCCAUGACGCGGUAGUGGAAGAAGAAGCACCGGCUAACUACGUGCCAGCCGCCGCGGUAAUAC
rnacentral:rRNA from 1 species